UACGUAGGUGGCGAGCGUUGUCCGGAUUUAUUGGGCGUAAAGCGCGCGCAGGUGGUGCGGUAAGUCCUGUGUGAAAUCUCCCGGCUCAACUGGGAGGGUGCGGAGGAGACUGCCGGACUGGAGGCACUCAGAGGCCGGUGGAAUUCCCGGUGUAGUGGUGAAAUGCGUAGAGAUCGGGAGGAACACCAGUGGCGAAGGCGGCCGGCUGGGGGUGACCUGACGCUCAUGCACGAAAGCGUGGGGAGCAAACAGG
rnacentral:rRNA from 1 species